rnacentral:rRNA from 1 species
CAGCCGCCGCGGUAAUACGAAAGGUGCAAGCGUUAAUCGGAAUUACUGGGCGUAAAGCGUGCGUAGGCGGUUUAUUAAGUCUGCUGUGAAAUCCCCGGGCUCAACCUGGGAAUGGCAGUGGAUACUGGCAAGCUAGAGUGUGUCAGAGGAUGGUGGAAUUCCCGGUGUAGCGGUGAAAUGCGUAGAGAUCGGGAGGAACAUCAGUGGCGAAGGCGGCCAUCUGGGACAACACUGACGCUGAGGCACGAAAGCGUGGGGAGCAAACAGGAUUAGAUACCCCCGUAGUCCCUGUCUCUUAUAC